rnacentral:lncRNA from 1 species
CAGAGUCCGGCUUUGGGGCACCCCACAAAUGUUGGCUGAGCGAAAGCAGGAAUGAACAGCAACUAACCCAGUUUGACUGGUCCGGCCUGCUGAUCUCAUUCCCCAGGAGUCCCACUGCCCGAGGAUCACGAAGACCAUGGUCUGGAUGAAGUGGGUUUCUCAGCCACAAGGAAACAUUGAAAGAUUACAAUGGGAAGCUGUGCGCUGCUUCCUUUCCACUUGACUUCCAGAUGUGUGAAACUGGGCGAGCUUCCUCUUUUCCUGCAGAGCUUGAAUUCUGUGAAGGGGCAGUGUGGGCUCUGUCAGAACCACGCCCUCCACGCCCCCCACCUUCUCUCCAGAGAAAAGGCAAACAAGUGUGAACAGCCAGGAGGUGAAGAGGAGCCAGCCAAGAACAAAUGCGAGCCACAGCCACACAAUCCCCUUUGCGGGGCUGCUGUCCACAAAGGGGAGGAUGAGAUGGACCCCAAAUGAGGGGCCUCAUUCACCUCCUCGCAGCUACAAAGAGGGGACCUUCAGAAGCCCUCUGCCUGGACUAGCUCGCCCCGCCCCCCCACCCCCACCCCCGCUCUGUCUGUCCUGGUAGAUUAAAGGUGGUGACGGCGAUGUGAUGGACAGCUCCCAGACCUCAGUGAUGUCACAUGAUACAAUCCAGGGCGGGUCACAGGAAACUGCUCCACGCAGGCCUCCAGGGACCCAGGCUCCUUCUGUCUUGUGGUUCCACAGUCCCCGGGGCCGUGGAGUUCUCUGCUGGACCAUCUGUGUCCAGCUGAAAAUGUAAGAGGAGAGAGGCCAGAGGAUUAUGUGGAAGGUUUCCUAGGCCAAGGCUGGAGGGGCCUAUACCACCUUCCUCCACAUGAAGCAUCAGGGGGACGGGGAGAUGUGGUCUCCAGGCGUUAGAGGCUGAACUGUGUCCCCCUCACCCCAAAAGAUAUCUUCAAGUCCUAACUCUCAGUAUCUUAGAACAUGACCUUGUUUGGAAAUAGGGUCUUUACAGAGGUGAUCAAAUUAAAAUGAGGUCAUCAGAGUGGGUCCUAAUCCAACAGGACCAGUGUCCUUAUCCAAAAGGAAAAUUUGGGAGUUCCCACUGUGGCUCAGCAAUAACAAAUGAGACAAGUAUCCAUGAGGAUGUGGCUUCAAUCCCUGGCCUCGCUCAGUGGGUUAAGGAUCUGGUGUUGCCAUGAGCUGUAGUGUAAGUGGCAGACACAGCUUGGAUCCUGAGUUGCUGUGUCUGUGGCAAAGGCCAGCAGCUGCGACUCCGAUUCAACCCUAGCCUGGUAUGCUGCAGGUGCUGGCCCUAAAAAGACCAAAAAAAAAAGAAAAGAAAAAA